CAUGUCCUUUUGAAAAUAAUUUAAGGUCUAAUCUGCUCAAUGAAUAUUAAAUAGCCGCAGUAUUUUGACUGUGCAAAGGUAGCAUAAUAAUUAGUCUCUUGAUUAGAGACUGGAAUGAAUGAUUGGACAAGAAAAUUACUGUCUCUUUCUUAAUAUUUUUGAAUUUUAUUUUUAAGUGAAAAAGCUUAAAUUAUUAUAAAAGACGAGAAGACCCUAUAGAGUUUAAUAUUUUUAAGUAAUUAAAUUUUAGAAUAAUUAUUUAUUUAAGUUUAUUUGGUUGGGGUGAUUGAAAGAUUAAUAAAAUUCUUUUAAAAUAAUAUUGGAGAUUUUCAAUUUUUUUAUCUAUAGAUUAUAAAUAUAAAAUAAAUUACCUUAGGGAUAACAGCGUAAUUUUUCUUUAAAGUUCUUAUUAUAAGGAAAGUUUGCGACCUCGAUGUUGGAUUAAAAUUAAUUUUUGGUGCAAUAGCUUAAAAAUUGGGUCUGUUCGACCUUUAAAAUUUUACAUGAUCUGAGUUUAAACCGGUGUGAGCCAGGUUGGAUUCUAUCUUUAGAAAAAUAUUAUAUUUUAGUACGAAAGGACCAAAUAUAUAUUAAAUUAAUUG
rnacentral:rRNA from 1 species